rnacentral:rRNA from 1 species
AGUGAACGCUGGCGGUAGGCCUAACACAUGCAAGUCGAACGGCAGCACAGUAAGAGCUUGCUCUUACGGGUGGCGAGUGGUGGACGGGUGAGGAAUACAUCGGAAUCUACUUUUUCGUGGGGGAUAACGUAGGGAAACUCACGCUAAUACCGCUUACGACCUACGGGUGAAAGCAGGCGCUCUUCGGACCUUGCGCGACUGAAUGAGCCGAGGUCGGAUUAGCUAGGUGGCGGGGUAAAGGCCCACUAAGGCGACGACCCGUAGCGGGUCUGAGAGGAUGAUCAGCCACACUGGAACUGAGACACGGUCCAGACUCCUACGGGAGGCAGCAGUGGGGAAUAUUGGACAAUGGGCGAAAGCCUGAUCCAGCAAUACCGCGUGGGUGAAGAAGGCCUUCGGGUUGUAAAGCCCUUUUGUUGGGCAAGAAAAGCAGCAGGAUAAUACCCCGAUGUUCUGACGGUACCCAAAGAAUAAGCACCGGCUAACUUCGUG